rnacentral:rRNA from 1 species
GAAUUGAUCUGGUCAGACGAACGCUGGCGGCAGGUCUAGGCAUGCAAGUCGAACGGAUGACAAGGGAGCUUGCUCCUGAAGUCAGUGGCGCACGAGUGAGUAACGCGUGGGAAACUGCCCUUCACUGGGGAAUAACGUUUGGAAACGAACGCUAAUACCGCAUACGCCCGCAAGGGGAAAGAUUUAUCGGUGAUGGAUGUGCCCGCGUUGGAUUAGCUAGUUGGUGGGGUAAUGGCCUACCAAGGCGAUGAUCCAUAGCUGGUCUGAGAGGACGAUCAGCCACGCUGGAACUGAGACACGGUCCAGACUCCUACGGGAGGCAGCAGCUAAGAAUAUUGGGCAAUGGAGGAAACUCUGACCCAGCCCAUGCCGCGUGAAUGAAGAAGGCCUUCGGGUUGUAAAGUUCGUUUUAGUCAUGAAGAUGAUGACAGUAGUGACAGAAAAAGCACCGGCUAACUUCGUGCCAGCCGCAGC